UCUUAUUUCUCUCUCUUUAGCCUGCAUCAGUUCCGACUUCUGCUGCCCCUCUCAAUGACAAUUACAACAACGAAUCAAUGAAUGGAUUUUGUUCUUCUGAGGUUGAAGAAUGGGCGAUGAGAGGUUGUGGGGAUGAGAUGGUCGUCAGUGUUUUAUGCUGAAAAAAUAGCAACAGUGCAGUGGCUCUCCCUGAGCAGCUUGCUUCUUUACAAGUUACGGCCGAAGAUCUACACCGACGAUUCUGAAGCACACAUAUGAUUCAAACGUAUAACAAAUAUCAAAUCCAACAAUGAUACAACAACAAACGAAGAUAUUAUUUCGGUUAUCCGCGCUGACUGGGUUGCCAUCUUGACAGCCUCGCCCAGCUUGAUUCGCAGACCCGCCGAGGCAAGUCAUUGAGAGACUGAAAACACAUUAAACUUCUCUAACGCAAUUUUACCACACCAUACCCUCUCUGUCUCGACCACAUCACAGACAAACUACACACACCUGCUGCUAUCUCUCU
rnacentral:sRNA from 1 species